rnacentral:rRNA from 1 species
GUCUACGGCCAUGCUACCCUGAACAAGCCCAAUCCCGUCUGAUCUUGGAAGUUAAGCAGAGUCAGGCCUGGUUAGUACUUAGAUGGGAGACCACCUAGGAAGACCAGCUGCUAUAGGCU